rnacentral:tRNA from 1 species
GAGAGGUCCAGAAGACCUGCUAACUCUUCAAU